AUUGAACGCUGGCGGCAGGCCUAACACAUGCAAGUCGAGCGGAUGAAGGGAGCUUGCUCCCUGAUUUAGCGGCGGACGGGUGAGUAAUGCCUAGGAAUCUGCCUGGUAGUGGGGGAUAACGUUCCGAAAGGAACGCUAAUACCGCAUACGUCCUACGGGAGAAAGCAGGGGACCUUCGGGCCUUGCGCUAUCAGAUGAGCCUAGGUCGGAUUAGCUAGUUGGUGAGGUAAUGGCUCACCAAGGCGACGAUCCGUAACUGGUCUGAGAGGAUGAUCAGUCACACUGGAACUGAGACACGGUCCAGACUCCUACGGGAGGCAGCAGUGGGGAAUAUUGGACAAUGGGCGAAAGCCUGAUCCAGCCAUGCCGCGUGUGUGAAGAAGGUCUUCGGAUUGUAAAGCACUUUAAGUUGGGAGGAAGGGCAGUAAGUUAAUACCUUGCUGUUUUGACGUUACCAACAGAAUAAGCACCGGCUAACUUCGUGCCAGCAGCCGCCGUAACAC
rnacentral:rRNA from 1 species